UAGAGGAGUCAGGGCCAGGAGCCCCCCCCUGAGCCCAGGAUAACACUGCAAGUCGGGGGGCA
rfam:Cricetulus griseus cell line CHO-K1, whole genome shotgun sequence.